rnacentral:rRNA from 1 species
GACGAACGCUGGCGGCGUGCUUUACACAUGCAAGUCGAACGGUGAAGGUGGAGCUUGCUCCGCCGGAUCAGUGGCGAACGGGUGAGUAACACGUGGGCAACCUGCCCCUAACUUUGGGAUAACUACUCGAAAGAGUAGCUAAUACCGGAUAUGAAGUCUGUAGGCAUCUAUGGAUUUGGAAAGUUUUUCGGUCAAGGAUGGACUCGCGGCCUAUCAGCUAGUUGGUGAGGUAACGGCUCACCAAGGCGACGACGGGUAGCCGGCCUGAGAGGGUGACCGGCCACACUGGGACUGAGACACGGCCCAGACUCCUACGGGAGGCAGCAGUGGGGAAUAUUGCACAAUGGGCGCAAGCCUGAUGCAGCGACGCCGCGUGAGGGAUGACGGCCUUCGGGUUGUAAACCUCUUUCAGCAUCGACGAAGCGAAAGUGACGGUAGGUGCAGAAGAAGGACCGGCCAACUACGUGCCAGCCGCCGCAGUAA